rnacentral:rRNA from 1 species
AUUGAACGCUGGCGGCAGGCCUAACACAUGCAAGUCGAGCGGAAGAAGGGAGCUUGCUCCUGGAUUCAGCGGCGGACGGGUGAGUAAUGCCUAGGAAUCUGCCUGGUAGUGGGGGAUAACGUCCGGAAACGGGCGCUAAUACCGCAUAAGUCCAGAGGGAGAAAGUGGGAGAUCUUCGGACCUCCCGCUGUCAGAUGAGCCUAGGUCUGAUUAGCUAGUUUGGGGGGUAAAGGCCUACACAGGCGACGAUCCGUAACUGGUCUGUGAGUAUGAGCAGUGACACUGUGACAGAGACACGGUCCAGACUCUUAUGGGAGGCAGCGGUGGGGAAUAUUGGACAAUGGGCGAGAGCGUGAGCCAGCCAUGUCGCGCGUGUGAAGAAGGGCUUCGGAUUGUAAAGCACUCUUUUGUGGGGGGAAAGGCAGUAAGUUAAUACCCCGCUGUUUUGACGCUACCCACAGAAUAAGCACCGGCUAACUUCGUG